UUAGCGACCCGGCUGUAACAGCUGCUUUAAUUUUGUAAAAUAGGAGGUCUGUGCUUGGAGCUGGUUCUGGGAGAAUGCCGGCUCGCGCCUGCACGCAUUAGACACGUUUAUCGAGCGCCUCGGAUGUUUAUGCGUUACCGCGAGGAUGCUGGAGAUACAGACUGGAAAGGAACUGGGCCUGGCGCCGGGGAGUGCGAGUCCGGUGGAGGAGGCUGGACGGCGAGCCAACAGCCCUGAAGCUCCGUGCGGAGAGCUGCCAGGCGCUGGGGCCGCCACUCCGCCUGGGCCAGGGGGUGGGAACAGCGAGUUCAAAGAAGAGUGAGAUGGGGCUGGUGGUCAGCUGUGUGCCUGGAGGGCAGGAGGCCUAGGAGGGUACCCAUGGUAGGCUGGGGCCAGCCCAGGAUGGAUCUUAAAUAUUCUCUGAGACUCUUGCUCCAAACAGCAGGACUGCAGGAGGAACCCUGACACUGCUGUGGCCCCUGGCAAAAUCCCCAAUUAGGUGGGAAUGUGUCAAUUCAAUUCCAUUUCCCCUUCCAGAGGCCUCUAUUACUGCUCUGCUGUGGGGAACGCGGAGACGCACAAGACAUCAGAAAACAGCAAACAGGCGGGACUUCCAUUUCCAGCAGUAUUGUGACUUAGACAGCAGAGAACCCGCCUGCUACAAAGUCCUCCUUGGAAAUGGUGGCUAAAAUAUAACAAACACCCUUUUAAAUGCAUGGCUGAGCUUGCAGGAAAGGAGGGGCACUCCCCAGGGAUCAAAACAAAGAAGCAGCUGAAAAGCAGAGCAGGAGGCAGGAGGGAUGGUGCUGCGCUGGGCGCGGGCAGGGCAGGGGCUUUGGUCUCAGCAGCCUGGGGGGUGGGCAGUGCAGUCCCUGUGGGGACAAGAAAUCAGGCUUGGGGCUCCACAAAGCAGAGAGUUGAAAAUGAGACCCGCCUGCGAGCCACUCUUCCAUUCGCAGUGAAAAGGUGGAUGAGAAUAAAAAUAAAAAUUAAAAAACCAUUCAGACGGAUCACCAGGAAGCUGAUCUGCCACAGCCAGGCCCUCCGGUGACUGCCCCCACCGUAUUCCCACAGAAGACACAUGGCUUAUUCCCUGGAGGGGAGAACCAAGGGACUUUGUACAGGGGAAGAGCGGAUCCAGCGGGGGCACGGGCAUCUCUCUGAAGACAAGCUGCACCAGUCUAUGAGAGUCUUGGCCAGUCGUUCUGUCCCAACCAAUGCUGCAUAGACAACUCCACACAGCACAACCUGACAGCAUUUCUGCUCCUCCCGCCAUGGGCUUCCUGUGGCUGCUGGCGCUUGAAAUGCUGUGGGAUCCACUCAAUGCCCAGGCAUGUGCAAGACGGUUCUACAGGAUCAAGCAAUCGAUCGUGAUCAACAUUGACCAGUGACCAGCUCAAUAAGGUACCUUCAUAUUGGUUCUUCCACCUUUCUUUUUCUCUCACUCCAGCUUCCCUGGGACUGUACUCCCUAAACACUAGUGGCACUUCCUUUUCAUCUCAGUUCUGCUUACUGAAGCUUAGAAAGUGGCUCUAGAAAGCAGACCCUUGGUUUGGAAUUUGGUACUGGAUUACUCACGUCACACUUAAUGAAAGACCAAAUGUUUUCCUGUGAAGAUCAGGGACAAGGGUGCCUGCUCUCAUUCCUCCUAUUCAACACCAUGAGAGAAUUCCUAGCCAGUGCAACAAACAAGCAAACAAGGCAUACAGCUUGGAAGGAAAGAAAGAAAUCUCCUUCUAUUCACACACAACAUAAUUAUCUAUAUUUAAAAAACCCAUAAACUAAUGAGUUUAGCAAGAUCACAUAAUAUAAGUCAAUAUACACAAAAAAAUGUAUUCCUAUAUACUCACAAUGAACAAUUAGAAUUGAAAUCAAGAAACAGCACUGGGAAAAGUGAAAUACUCAGGUUUAAAUCUGUAUGCUGAAGACUAGAAAACACUAAUGAAAGAAAUUCUAAAACACCUAAAUAAAUGAAGAGCUAUACCAUGUUCAUGAAUUGGAAGACUCGAUUCUGUUAAGCUGUCAAUUAUCUCCAAAUUGAUCUACAGAUUCAAUCUAAUCCCAAAUAAAAUCCUAGGAAAAUUUUGGAAAAAUCAAUAAGCUAAUUCUAAAAUUUACAUGGAAAGGCAAAGGGACUAGAAUA